rnacentral:rRNA from 1 species
GCGGCCUAUCAGCUUGUUGGUGAGGUAAUGGCUCACCAAGGCGACGACGGGUAGCCGGCCUGAGAGGGCGACCGGCCACACUGGGACUGAGACACGGCCCAGACUCCUACGGGAGGCAGCAGUGGGGAAUAUUGGGCAAUGGAGGGAACUCUGACCCAGCGACGCCGCGUGCGGGAUGAAGGCCUUCGGGUUGUAAACCGCUUUCAGCAAGGAAGAAGCGAAAGUGACGGUACUUGCAGAAGAAGCACCGGCUAACUAUGUGCCAGCAGCCGCGGUAAUACAUAGGGUGCAAGCGUUGUCCGGAAUUAUUGGGCGUAAAGAGCUCGUAGGUGGUUUGAUACGUCGGGUGUGAAAUUCAGGGGCUCAACCCCUGACCUGCAUUCGAUACGGUCAAGCUAGAGUUUGGUAGGGGAGACUGGAAUUCCU